rnacentral:rRNA from 1 species
GAAGUAAAAGUCGUAACAAGGUUUCCGUAGGUGAACCUGCGGAAGGAUCAUUAUUGAAAUAAACCUGAUGGGUUGCUGCUGGUUCUCUAGGGAGCAUGUGCACACUUGUCAUCUUUAUAUCUCCACCUGUGCACCUUUUGUAGACCUGGAUAUCUUUCUGAAUACCUUACCCUAGGCAUUCAGGUUUGAGGAUUGACUUUCUGUCUUUCCUUACAUUUUCAGGUCUAUGUUUCUCCAUAUACCCAAUGUAUGUUAUAGAAUGUAAUAAAUGGGCCUUUGUGCCUAUAAACCUAUACAACUUUCAGCAACGGAUCUCUUGGCUCUCGCAUCGAUGAAGAACGCAGCGAAAUGCGAUAAGUAAUGUGAAUUGCAGAAUUCAGUGAAUCAUCGAAUCUUUGAACGCACCUUGCGCUCCUUGGUAUUCCGAGGAGCAUGCCUGUUUGAGUGUCAUUAAUAUAUCAACCUCCUCAGCUUUUGCUUGUUGAGUGUUGGAUGUGGGGGUAUUUUUUGCUGGCCUCUCCUGAGGUCAGCUCCCCUGAAAUGCAUUAGCGGAACAAUUUGUUGACCGUUCAUUGGUGUGAUAACUAUCUACGCUAUUGACGUGAAGCAGGUUCAGCUUCUAACAGUCCAUUGACUUGGACAAAUUUCAUUAAUGUGACCUCAAAUCAGGUAGGACUACCCGCUGAACUUAAGCAU